rnacentral:tRNA from 5 species
GCGGGGGUAAUUCAGUGGUAGAAUGCUUCCUUGCCAAGGAAGAUGUCGCGAGUUCGAGCCUCGUCUCCCGCUCCA